GAUAAGAACGUAGCGAAAUGCGAUAAGUAGUGUGAAUUGCAGAAUUCAGUGAAUCAUCGAAUCUUUGAACGCACAUUGCGCCCUUUGGUAUUCCUUAGGGCAUGCCUGUUCGAGCGUCAUUUAAACCUUCAAGCUCAGCUUGGUGAUGGGUGACUGUCCCCCCCUCGCGGGGGGACUCGCCUCAAAAACAUUGGCGGCCGGUACAUUGGCUUCGAGCGCAGCAGAAACGCGGUCUCGAGCCCGGUGGAUCGGCUCCCAUAAGUCUAUUCUUUUAUUUUGACCUCGGAUCAGGUAGGGAUACCCGCUGAACUUAAGCAUAUCAAUAAGCGGAGGA
rnacentral:misc_RNA from 1 species